AUUGAACGCUGGCGGCAGGCCUAACACAUGCAAGUCGAGCGAGCGGCGGACGGGUGAGUAAUGUGUGGGGAACUGCCCGCUAGAGGGGGAUAACUACUGGAAACGGUGGCUAAUACCGCAUACUGUCUGAUGGACCCAUAUGGGUUUAGCUGGUAGGUAAGGUAAUGGCUUACAUAGGCGCCGAGCCCUAGCUGGUCUGAGAGGAUGAUCGGCCACACUGGGACUGGGACACGGCCCCGGAUCCUACGGGAGGCAGCAGUGGGGAAUAUUGUGCAAUGGGGGGAACUCUGAUCCAGCCAGGCCGCGUGUGUGAAGAAGGCUUUAGGGUGGUAAAGCACUGGAAGCGAGGAGGCGUUACUCGCAGAAUAAGCACCGGCUAACUCUGUGCCAGCAGCCGCGGUAAUUC
rnacentral:rRNA from 1 species